AGGUUCUAAGGGUACAAACAAUAGCUCAUCAAUCCAAAGAUGCUACAUCAACAAUCCCAUCAAUGUUCCUUAGAUCAGAAACUGAAUCACCAGGAACAACAACAGUUCAAGGUGUCAAACUCGAAGUACCUAUAAUAGAUUUCAACAACCCAGAUGAAGGAAAAAUACAAAAUGAAAUAAUGGAAGCAAGUACAAAAUGGGGAAUGUUUCAAAUUGUGAACCAUGAUAUUCCAAAUGAAGUUAUAAAAAAAUUGCAAAGUGUUGGUAAAGAAUUCUUUGAGUUACCACAAGAAGAGAAAGAGGUUAUUGCUAAACCUAUUGGGUCUGAUUCAUUGGAAGGGUAUGGUACAAAACUUGAAAAAGAGGUUAAUGGGAAGAAAGGUUGGGUAGAUCAUUUGUUUCAUAUUAUAUGGCCACCUUCUUCCAUUAAUUACCGUUUUUGGCCUAACAACCCUGCUUCGUACAGGUAUGUUUCUAUUUUUAACUUUCUUAAUCAUUGUUCUGGAGCACUGUUUAGCAUGACCCAAUUGUAUUUUACUUGUAUUUUAUGUUAGAGUAGUCCAUUAUUUUGAGUUUAAAUUUAAUAAAAAGUACUACUCAUAAACUAUUAUAACAUCGUAAAAUUUAAUAAAAAGUGUACGUUAUUUAUUUAUUUAUUUAUUUUUUCUAACAAUUGUGAGUUUAAAUUUUAAUGAGAGAUUGAUGUUAGUGUCACCCUUAUUUAUUUAUAUGGUAAGAAUAAAUUUUAUUAAAAAAGUUGUAUAUGUAGAGAAAAAGGAAAUGUCGCAAUCUAGAUCUCUAGAGUAGCAUAUGCAACAUGUGAAUUAGGUUGCAUUUUUUUUUUUUUGAAGGAAUGUGAAUUAGGUUGCAUUGAAAGAUUUAUUUAUUUUUCUUUCUGAAAGGUUUAUAUUAUAUUAGUGGUAACAUUAUUAAAAUGAUAAUGUUCAUGGAAUUUAAAUAAACCUUCCAAAAGGGGGACUUUGUUCUGAGGUGCAAAGAAGGUUUGGUUGGUAGUCCCUAUCUUACCUCCAACUAAAUGUUAGCAUUCCUCUUUAUUAUGAGUUUGAAUUUUCUUCAUUUCUAAAAAAUAUAUAAAAGUUUCAAUUUGGUAAAGAUAUAAUAUACAAAAAGUAAAUAGUAGAUCGUACUGCCAUUAAAGUUUUUUAUUUUUGUAAACUUGUUUGUUUUUAUCUUUCAAAUAAAAUUAUCUUGUUUUAGAAAAAUGAAGAUGAUACUUACUAGCCACUUUCCAUGCAUGUGUUUUUAUUAUGACCACCCAUUUACAUAAACAAACUAUUCCCCUAGAAAUAAGUCCUAAUAUAUUGAGUAAUCCCCUAACCGAAGUAUUAAAUGUUUAUUGAAACUUCAAUAUUUAUCUAAGGACCAUAUUUAGUAUUGAAGACAAAUAUUUUACUCCUACUCUAAUUCAAGCACAUCUCUUUUGUCUUACUUGUUCUUGUUAAGCAUUUUGGAUUAAUUUUUUGUCCUUAUAAAGUCUAAGCUUAUCUUUCUCUCGAAUCUCUAUGGAUUAAUUUUGUAUUUGGUUCAGACCUCUCCUGAUUUUUAUAUUAUUUUGGACCACCAUCUACCUUUCUUUGAUGAAGAGAGCACCAUCUACCUGAUUUUUCAUAUGCGAGUUUGGUCUAUUCUAUUAAAAGGAGUUAAAUUAUUCUAAUUAUUAUAGUAUUAAAUAAUUUGAAAAUAAUGCAUAUUAAUUUUUUAAAAUUUGUUUACUUUUCAUGCAGGGAGGUGAAUGAGGAAUAUGGCAAGUACCUACGUGAAGUGGCAGACAAACUAUUCAAAAGCCUGUCAAUUGGGCUUGAGCUUGAAGAACAUGAACUUAAGAAAGCUGCAGGUGGAGAUGAGUUGAUUCACAUGUUGAAAAUCAACUAUUACCCACCAUGUCCAGUUCCUG
rnacentral:lncRNA from 1 species